ACCAGACUCCUACGGGAGGCAGCAGUGGGGAAUAUUGGACAAUGGGGGGAACCCUGAUCCAGCGACGCCGCGUGAGUGAAGAAGUAUUUCGGUAUGUAAAGCUCUAUCAGCAGGGAAGAAAGAAAUGACGGUACCUGACUAAGAAGCCCCGGCUAACUACGUGCCAGCAGCCGCGGUAAUACGUAGGGGGCAAGCGUUAUCCGGAUUUACUGGGUGUAAAGGGGGCGCAGACGGCAGCGCAAGCCAGGAGGGAAAGCCCGGGGCCCACCCCCGGGACUGCUCUUGGAACUGCGCGGCUGGAGUGCAGGAGGGGAAGGCGGAAUUCCUGGUGUAGCGGGGAAAUGCGUAGAUAUCAGGAGGACCACCGGUGGCGAGGGCGGCCUGCUGGACUGCGACUGACGUUGAGGCCCGAAAGCGUGAGGAGCAAACAGGAUUAGAUACCCCGG
rnacentral:rRNA from 1 species